UUUAAACCAUCAGGACCAAGCAAGCCUUGGAGAAGACUGUAUGAAAACAUGCUUCUACUGGGAAUAUCAUGAAUGACUCAGAAUCCACACAGGAGAUUGGGACCUUCUGGGUCUCAAAACCUUCUAACCAGAAGCAGCUUGGGAAGGAAAGGGUUUGUUUGGCUUAAAUAUUAUAAAUUUAUAUUUGAGGAAGCCAAAACAGGAACUCGGGGCAGAAACCUAGAGGCACAAAAUGAAGUGGGGACCAUGGAAGGAAAACACUGCUUUCUGGCUUGCUCAGCCUACUCUCUUAUACAAACCGGGACCACCUGCCUAGGGGGUGACACCACCCACAGUGGACCUGGCUCUCUCACACAUCAAUCAUCAAGACAGUUCCCCACAGGCAUGCCCAAUCAUGCCAAUCUGAUGGAGGAAAUGUCUCAACUGAGGCUCCCUCUUCCCAAGUGACUCUGACUUGAGUCAAGAUGACAAUGAAAACUGAACAACACACCUGGAACCUUCUUUAUCUUAAACCUGGAGAAAAGGCGGCUACUGCUUGACUCUCUGAAAAUCCAGUGGACCAGCCUGCAGUGCACACAAGUUGCAGGUCUCUAUGUUUUAAGUUGAGAGAAGCAGACCAUAUCCAGUGUUCGAUUCCCACAGCCAUUCAGAUAAUCCAAGAGCUCUGAGGCUAAGCUGACUUUCCCGGCCACUGAAUGCUGCCACGAGAUAGGCUUGACCCAACUAUUAUUAUAAGUCAUUACGAUUCAUCCAGGACUUUUUGAACAUCUAUGUAUCCAAAAUAGAAAGAGGCUCAUUCACUGGCAUCCGAGAGCCGCACAGAUCUGGCUGUAACAAUAAGAACACAGCAUAAUUAAUGGUAUAGGUCAGCUGUGGUAAACAGGUCCUGUUUCUUCUGCUAAAUCCAGUCAGUCAUGAAUGGUUGUCUUGUGCAAUUCCGAGGUACAAUCCAGGGUCAAGGGCAGAGAAACUGAGAUUGCCUCACCAUGUGUGACAUGGCUUGGAGACAAGGACUAAUAUUACAAUUGGUCUGUACUGACGCCAACCUAGUGCAUGCUGGGUACUUCUCUGAGCACCAAAUGGUGGAAUUUGCAACCCAUGGCAGGAGACACACACUGAAAACAGCACACAUGUAUCUCCAGGGUACAACAACUAUGAAGAAAACAAAAGAGUUUGGGAAAGAGUGUACUCUCCAGCAAGUAGAGGGAAGGGGGACUCGAGUAGAGCUCUGAGCCCUGUGGAUUGCAAUUUGGGAAGGAUGUCUAAGAAACGGUGUAUCUCAAAGCAAAGAUUCGAAAGCUGGACAUGACCCGACACAGGCGCUGGAACGGACCGGAAGUGUCCACGUGCAGUACUUUGUGCAUCUCAAGUGACACCGCAACAGAGCUUUUAACUGCAAAGGUCUCUCCAAAUAAGCUGAGUGAGGUAAGUCACGUAAAUGUAUGCAGACAGAGCGUCCAGAGGCUGAGGAAAAAGCAUGCGCCAAAGCCACAGGCAAGAACGCACUUGAGAUAGCAGAAGUUUGUCGGGAGGACCGGAAGCGGGAGGACCGGAAGCGUUGGUGGGGGAGUUGGUAAAAGAACGUGCUGUACAGGAUCUCCGUAGCCAACAGGCACUCUUUGAAACCGAGACUUUGGCAGGGCCUGGUGACACGCCCCCUUCGUCCCAGCACUUGAGGGCAGAGGCAGUUGAAUCUAUGUUCCUACCAACAGGGUGCUCUGCACAAGCCCACCAAGGUCAAGCUACAAUGGGUUUGACCCCUAAAACCAUGAACAAACCAUGAGGCGACGCCUCAGCCCACCGGCACCGUAGUAAGAAGGAAACAUGAGGGGCAGGAGAGAUGGCUCCGCGGUUAAGAGCACCCGACUACUCUUCCAGAGGUCCUGAGUUCAAUUCCC
rnacentral:sRNA from 1 species